AUGCGUGCUUGUAUCGUUAGGCCAACUCUAAACAUGGCCAACAGACUAAAGAAAUUCAAAAAAAGGCAUUGCAACUUAAAAAACCAAAAUGGACUGGCAUACUGCGCAGGCGGCGGUGGUAGAGACAUUGGUGCUGGUGACCACAGCGCCCUCACCACCUGCGGUGCUGGUGGCGGCAUCGACAGUGGGCUGCAUGGCAUCGUGGCCGCGUCCAUGUCCUCGAUUACCCAUGCAGCGCCUCGUUCCAUACCGGGGUGGGCGGCCGGUCCUCCUCCAUGGCCUUCUCCUUCACCUCCUGCUUGA
rnacentral:rRNA from 1 species